rnacentral:rRNA from 1 species
AUUGAACGCUGGCGGCAGGCCUAACACAUGCAAGUCGAGCGAGCUGCGGACGGGUGAGUAAUGUCUGGGAAACUGCCUGCUGGAGGGGGAUAACUACUGGAAACGGUAGCUAAUACCGCAUACCAUCAGAUGUGCCCAGAUGGGAUGAGCUAGUUGGUGGGGUAACGGCUCACCUAGGCGACGAUCCCUCGCUGGUCUGAGAGGAUGACCAGCCACACGUGAACUGGGACCGGUUCCAGACUCCUACGGGAGGCAGCAGUGGGGAAUAUUGCACAAUGGGCGCAAGCCUGAUGAAGCCAUGCCGCGUGUGUGAAGAAGGCCUUCGGGUUGUAAAGCACUUUCAGCGGGGAGGCGUUACCCGCAGAAGAAGCACCGGCUAACUCCGUGCCAGCAGCCGCGGUAAUUC